CCUACGUGUGGCAGCAGUGAGGAAUAUUGGUCAAUGGACGAGAGUCUGAACCAGCCAAGUAGCGUGAAGGAUGACUGCCCUAUGGGUUGUAAACUUCUUUUAUAAAGGAAUAAAACGAGGCACGUGUGCCUUUUUGCAUGUACUUUAUGAAUAAGGAUCGGCUAACUCCGUGCCAGCAGCCGCGGUAAUCAGGAGGAUCCGAGCGUUAUCCGGAUUUAUUGGGUUUAAAGGGAGCGUAGAUGGGUUGUUAAGUCAGUUGUGAAAGUUUGCGGCUCAACCGUAAAAUUGCAAUUGAUACUGGCAGCCUUGAGUACAGUUGAGGUAGGCGGAAUUCGUGGUGUAGCUGUGAAAUGCUUAGAUAUCACGAAGAACUCCGAUUGCGAAGGCAGCUUACUAAACUGCCACUGACAUUGAUGCUCGAAAGUGUGGGUAUCAAACAGGAUUAGAUACCCGUGUAGUC
rnacentral:rRNA from 1 species